rnacentral:lncRNA from 1 species
UCCCAAUGACCCAGAAAUUUAAAACAAAAAAACAAUAACAAUAACAAAUAUAUCUUAAAGAAUAAAUAACAAAAAAUUGAAAAAAGUAAAAACAAGAACAAGAUCUUUUUUUUUUUUUUUUUUAAUAACAAACUCCUUGUUUGGCACGAAGGCUUGGUUUUCUCUCAUUGCACAGAUCGAUAUCCGGUGGGUUUUAGGCAAAGUCGGUUUUACAUAACAAAAACUCUGGAUUCCACCUCUUCCCGUCUUUGGCAACGGUGGUAUGCCGCUUGGCUUUCAGGUUGUGUUGCGCUUGGAUCUAAAGAGCUUUGACAUAUUUCUGAAGACAUGGGGCAGAUGCGCUUCUGGUAAAAAACAAGAACAAGAUCAAACCAAACCCAAAAAAAGCCACCCCUAUCACGUCUUCCCCAACCCCAACCCAACCUCCCACCAUACCCACCACCUAGAUCCACCAGUGUAGGGCAGUGGGUGGAUGUCAUAUCCAAACUGAGUACAUCAAGGCCAAGUGGUUGUCUCCUCACACAAUCUCUGCGACUGAGACUGAGUUGGACGAGUCGGUAUUUGAGCUGUAUAAGAGUUUGGGUGAGGAGAAGAAGCCGAUAGUGGC